rnacentral:rRNA from 1 species
CAGUAGCCGCGGGAUACGGAGGGUGCAAGCGUUAAUCGGAAUUACUGGGCGUAAAGCGCACGCAGGCGGUCUGACAAGUCAGAUGUGAAAUCCCCGGGCUUAACCUGGGAACUGCAUUUGAAACUGUCAGGCUGGAGUCUUGUAGAGGGGGGUGGAAUUCCAGGUGUAGCGGUGAAAUGCGUAGAGAUCUGGAGGAAUACCGGUGGCGAAGGCGGCCCCCUGGACAAAGACUGACGCUCAGGUGCGAAAGCGUGGGGAGCAAACAGGAUUAGAUACCCCUGUAGUCCCUGUCUCUUAUACA